rnacentral:hammerhead_ribozyme from 1 species
GUACUGCAGAAGUGUCCCAAACUAGGACGAAACGGGUAGCUGUCCAGUAC